AGGAAUCGUGAAAAUAAAUCUAGAAGGUACGACAAAGAUGUAUCUUGACACGUCUUUUUAUGUACCCCACGUUUUGUGUUGACUGUCCUUGCGAUGUCCCCCUCUAUUUUGAUGCGAUAAGCACAACGGGGAUUAAGAACUGUGGAAGGUUGACUUGGACAAGGAAAGGCUCCCACGGAAUAUGGAUUUCAUAGAACUGAAAAAGAAAUAUAACAUAGACAUCAGAAUGACCGCAGCUCUAAGCUGAAACAAGAAGAAAAAAAUAAUAAUGGAGAGCAGGAGAAAGGAAGCAAGUGAUGUCAGUUGAUGGGGCAGGUAACACCAUUUUCAUUUUAACAUUUUUUUUUUCAUCUUUCAUUGUAUCAUACGUUUCAUUGUGUUUAUGAAAAAACCCCAAAAAAAGAGUAAAACUAUAGAUGCAAAGAGACUAAAAACCCGGAUUAUAAAACGGACAGUAAGAACGUUUAAAUGGUACCGCAUGUGAGUGGGGCGCAUGCAGCCAUUUCAUUUCCAUCAAUUUUAUUGUACGUAUUACCAUUUUUCGUUUUGCAUGUUUUUGUCUGCACUGUGCAGACGUCUAAUUUUCUGACGCUGCAACAUAGUAACCACUGUUACCAUAUUUUUUUUUAAAAUCUUUUCUAUAACAAUGACUGUAUAGGUAGAUGACUUCAUGUAUACCAUUUCUUUAAGUUUUGGCUAUUAUGGCAACAUUUUAAAGCGUAGUUCUUUAAAAUUGGGCUAUACUUUUCUUUUGUAGGUGAAAAUGAACCGAGGUGUCUCUGAACUAUUCCUGCUACCUAACGCGUAGACGUUAUCAAGAAUUUUUUCCCUGUAACAUUACAGUUGCUACAAGCUUGCUCUAAUUUCUUCACCUACACUUUACUCUGGCUAUGAAUGCAUAAACUGAUUUCAAACGAGAUGAAUUUUCUCGUAUCAAUAUCGACUCAACACUUUGAUCUAAAAACACAUCAUUUACUUCACCAAGUCCAUUAAUGUGAACAACCCGACUAAACAGGUCUUGGUUUCUUGUCUGUAACUUAACUGAACAGUAGAAAUGAAAUUGGUCGUUUGAAAACCAAAACCUUGGAAUUUCCAAAUAUAUACUGCUUACGUUUUGUCCAGAUUUUAUUUUUAUCAAAAGCAACGAAACUCAAGUUACAUCUUCAGCUGGGAUUAUAUCGAUACUUUUUUUUCCUUGCAUAUCGGUAUUUUUGUCUGCCGUUCACUUGGAGAAACUUCGCAACCAAAUAAUUGACAUCACUUCAUUUUUGAUGAUUGGACGUGAAGCCUUCCUUUUUAAGGUAGUUUGCUGACAACUAUAAAAGGCUUCGACGUAAAGCUUUCAUCCAACAGGUUAUAAUCACGAGAUACAGUAAUAAAACGACUUAGCAUUGGCCACCAAUGUGCGUUCAUAACUUUUGUGUCGGUCAGUGAUAGAGGAUUUCCUUUUAUUAUAUAAGGACUGGCCAUUGUACCUGAAUGCUUUGCGAGUGAUAUCUUAGCGAUAUCGUCCUUCAUCUCAUCUAUUUUUUUUAUUCAACAGUUGUUCAUGGAACAGGUAGCCAGCCAUCAAAAUGGCCGAGUGUUCGACAUUUGCUGACACCAUCAGAUCUUCUCGUCUUUUCAAAAUAAGUUAACUUUUUGAAAUUCAAAUGAAUCACUGGAUCAUAUUUUGCGAAGAAAAAUUCGAAUAAACGCCUGACAACCCAUCUUCAUAUCUUCCAUUUAUCUUCUGGAAGAGGAUUUAAAUGCUCGGCUUUGCAAUGAAAUCAUGGGUCUAUGUUUCUUGCGAUUUGUAAUUAAGACUUGCAUAUUUUGCAUCACACUUGAGCGCGACUCUCAAUGCUAGAACUGUUCUCGACCACGUACGUAAAAAAAACAACCUAUUUGUCAGAUAAGUUGCCCAGUCUUACUGGCUCAUUUUACAACAAAUUGUGCUCCUUUUACUGUUACUAACACUGCAUUUAUUUCUCUACCACUAACAGUCUCUCGGCCCUUUUCGAUCUUUAACUGACACAUCUCCACCCUUGUCUAACCUCAGUGAUAAGUUUUUUCUGUCUCUCAAAUUACAAGGUUUUGGUUGUUUUUUUUGGUGGGGUCGAUUUUUAAAAAUCAAUGGCAGAAUUGCCAAGACCUCAGGCCAAAUGCCUUGCUGUGUUCGUCUCAUCUUUUUACGUUUUGCGAUCAAACUCCUCCUUCUCCGCUAUUGCACACUUAGGCGGUGGAACUCGUUACAGGUUUUAACAUUAUAACCCGUCAUCUUUGAAAGGGAUCCACACUGCUGCAAGCAUUCUAGCUAGGUUUUUGGCUUGAGGAUAUCUUCCUCUGUCCCUCCUACCAAUCUUGGAGGCCUUGGAACUGGUCAUGUGCGCUACUUGCACUCCUGUCGAAAAGAGAAAAAAAAGAUAAAAGCCAUGUAAUAUUUGUAAUUUAUACAGCUUUUAUUUCCAGUUCGAAAAGCCUCGCACUGUCAGUAUUUUACUAUUUUUAUUUUACUUUUUUUUUUUUUUUUUUUUUUUGCUAGCCAUUCAAAAAUAAGUUUGGUCAUGAUCUUAUUAGAUUUUGAAAAACUUUUCUUUGAGUCCCUGGUCGAACAAAUUUAUGAUGAAAUGUGUUCCAGCCAUGUUUGUUUCUCUUUGCUGUCAAAGCAGUAAUUUGGUUGUUUUUUUUUUGUUUUUUUUAGCUUUUUUAAAACCCUAGGCUUCAAAUUCUAGCUGGUCGACCAUUCAAAAUUUCCCAAAAGAUUGGUCGAUUUGUAUAAAAUAUCAAAAGAUCGGGGUGGGUGGGGAUAUCAAGCAAAUUACCAACGUUGAUUCCGACUCUACUUUCGAGAUUUGAAAGAUUUCUAGUCUUACAAACAUUAAAAAAGACCCCUUCAACCAUAAUCAACAUCACUAAAUUUUGUCAUUGAAUAGAACAUGGUUUGCUGACGUGGUCGAAAAAAACCUCAGCAAACUGUCUAUUGGCAUUUGUGAUGGAAAUCCGUGUCCGGAAAAAGAAAACGCUCGUUGAGUUUCGAGACAAGAUCUACUCCAGUCUAAAUUGUCCAAUAUUUUCCAGAAAUCUCAACUGAUUUGACUGGAAUUAUCUCCGUUGCUUGAUCUUGAUCUUUAAAUACUCUAAGAACAGACUUCUUUUUGCAUAAUCUCAGUUAAUCAGAUUUGUCUUAAAUUACAUAAAACGCUGCAUUUCCAAAAAUGUUUCCUCUUCAUGCUAAGAGCAAUUUUUUUUUUUCCAUAAUCAUAGGUAUUUUGAUAUCUAAAUUAAUUACAGAAUAAAUUCAGGACUGCUGGCAUUGGUAAUUUUGAUUUCUAUUCAAGAUUAGACUUAAUAUCCUUUGACCGUAAGGAUUCUCGUCAGGAAUAUCUUGGUCUGCUAUUUUUCUAGGAAAAAUACUUAGCAACAUUCUGUCCGUCUUCACUUUCGGAGUUGAAAUUCCGUGGAGGUCGACACUGCCUUUCAUCCUUCCGGGAUAGAUAAAAUAAAUACCAGUCGAACUCUGGGAUGAUUAAAUCGACUUUUCUCUUGCCCCG
rnacentral:lncRNA from 1 species